AUUAAACUGUGGGCAUUGUAGCGCAUUUCUUCCUUAAAUUAGUAAACCAAAGUUCUCCAACUGUCUUUAGGUUUUUUAUGCUCCCAGCAUCUUAGAUCAUUGUUGUAACAUUAAAAUUUCCGUAGUGUGAUCUUUGCCUGUAAAGGUGGUUAAAUAAAAUAAGCAAAGCUUUUGUCUGGGAAAGAAUUGAAAAGAACACCAAGUUCCAGAGUAAGAUAUUCUUGGAUAGAUCCGGAUACGAAUUGUAAUCCAAAGUUAAAAAUAGUAAUUGUAUUUGUAAUCCAAAGUCUUAAAGGCCUGUAGAAGUUUACAUUCCUUAGAUACAUUGCUGGAGGUUGUGUUUGUAGAAUACCCGGGUAUUUGUUAUAGAGUAUAGGUUGUAGAGUCCAGCUUUCCAAAUAUUUGGCUAGAAUUGGUUGCGGAUAUUGAUCAGCAUCAUCUGUUAUCACUGUGGUGAUGGCGUU